GAUGAACGCUAGCGGCAGGCCUAACACAUGCAAGUCGAGGGAGGAGCUUUCGGGCUUCGACCGGCGUACGGGUGCGUAACGCGUAUACAAUCUGCCUUUCACAUAGGGAUAGCCCGAAGAAAUUUGGAUUAAUACCUAAUGGUAUAUAGGAGUGGCAUCACAUUUAUAUUAAAGCUGAGGCGGUGAAAGAUGAGUAUGCGUUCUAUUAGCUAGUUGGAGAGGUAACGGCUCCCCAAGGCGACGAUAGAUAGGGGUUCUGAGAGGGAUAUCCCCCACACUGGUACUGAGAUACGGACCAGACUCCUACGGGAGGCAGCAGUGAGGAAUAUUGGACAAUGGUCGGAAGACUGAUCCAGCCAUGCCGCGUGCAGGAAGACGGCCUUAUGGGUUGUAAACUGCUUUUGCAGGGGAAGAAUAAGGACUACGAGUAGUUUGAUGACGGUACUCUGCGAAUAAGCAUCGGCUAAUUCCGUG
rnacentral:rRNA from 1 species